rnacentral:rRNA from 1 species
UGGUGGGGUAACGGCCCACCAAGCCGAAGAUCCGUACGGGCUGUGAGAGCAGGAGCCCGGAGAUGGACCCUGAGACAAGGGUCCAGGCCCUACGGGGCGCAGCAGGCGCGAAACCUCCGCAAUGCGGGAAACCGCGACGGGGUCAGCCGGAGUGCCGAUGCUCGCAUCGGCUGUCGGGGUGCCUAAAAAGCACCCCAUAGCAAGGGCCGGGCAAGGCCGGUGGCAGCCGCCGCGAUAAUACCGGCGGCCCGAGUGGCGGCCACUAUUAUUGGGCCUAAAGCGUCCGUAGCCGGGCUGGUAAGUCCUCCGGGAAAUCUGGUCGCUUAACGAUCAGACUUCCGGAGGAUACUGCUGGCCUAGGGACCGGGAGAGGCCGAGGGUAUUCCCGGGGUAGGGGUGAAAUCCUGUAAUCCCGGGAGGACCACCUGUGGCGAAGGCGCUCGGCUGGAACGGGUCCGACGGUGAGGGACGAAGGCCAGGGGAGCGAACCGGAUUAGAU